AGAGUCCCAGCGCACAGGGAACGGUUCUCAUCUAUCCGUCACCAAGGAGGCAGACGGGACGGGGAAACAACAAGUCAUUUGUACCUGAUGAGGAGGACACUCCUGGGAAACAAACAGAUGAGCCACCACAUGAAUCUGAGCUAUUCUCUGAGAAAUGGAAGUGCAGGAGAGGUUGGAUUUGUUAAUGACUUUCCCUGACCUGUUACGAAAUAUUUCAGAUUUGUCUCUUCAGACCUUGCUAGCACUGGGCAUCAGGGCCGACGUACAGCGGUGCAGCGCUCUCGGCUGCCGCGGGGUCAGGUGGAAGCUGUGAGAACUCAGCACUUCCCGUGAUUAGCCUCUGGACUGGGACAGGAUGAUGGCUCUCCUGAAAAAUACGCCAGAAAAGAAGAUGGCACCUGACUUUCCAGGAAAACGCUUCUCAGCUGAAUCUGGAAGCAGCGUUUGUGCAGCUCAUAGCACUGUGACACAGAUCUAGGCACCUCGCAGCCAGAGGAGAUGGAAACGGACACAUCAAGCCACGGUUGCUAUCUGAAUAUCCAUGGGCACUGUAGGACCGAGAACUCUCAAACUGCAGUCCAACUUAGCUGGAGAAUAACGACCUGCAUUUGGUCGUGAGAAACACCCGUGGAAACAAUUUUCUCGGUGCACCUGUCGGGGGGAGAGAGGAGGCUGCUUCAACCGUCAAUCUGUGGGACCUCGGCGCUCAGCCUGAAAGCAAAGGUGAAACGAAAUACGAAAAUUGCAGCGCAGCAGAAGAGGAGUCAGCUAUCUGAGGGCCUCUGCUGAAAUCCCAUCUUUCGGCGUUAUUACAACAUCUGGGAGCUCCGGGCGCAAAGCAGGACUUGUGCAAGCACCGGUUUCCCUGACGCUACAGUAGUAGCAGGGGACAACGGGGAGCUGCAGACGUGGGACCACCACAGCUCUCCGGCCUGCCGUCCCCUGGGCACGCUGGGGUUGGUGGCAGCACAGCGGUGACCAAGGUAUUGCCCGCUCCUCUUGGGCUGUUUGCCGUGAGAGAUUUUGCAGAUGGUAUCCUCCCAAGGGAAGAGCGUAGCCCAAAGGUAUUUUUGGUUGGAAUCAUCGUGACUGGACCACAAGGAUCAGAUUUGACCGGGAGCUGGGCUGGCCGUUUGAUAUCUAAUGAAAGAAUGAUACGGGAAUAAGGACCAGCUAUGAAGGAGGUACUUACAGCACAACCAGCACGUGAGGAAACCUCUUUGGGUAACUGGCCCUGACCCCCAGGGUAGGAGUCAAAGGAGGGCAGAAGGGAGCAACUCCUCCCUCGUAUGGUCCACGUAGGCACGCAGCCCAUAUGGCUGCUAACCUGCAGGGACGCCUUGAAGAGGGGAGAUUUAGAUUAGAUAUCAGGGAGAUGUUUUUCCCUAUGAGGGCGGUGAGGCACUGGAACAGGGAAGCUGUGGCCGCCCCAUCCCUGGAGGGGUUCAAGGCCAGGCUGGACGGGGCUUGGAGCAACCUGGGCUGGUGGGAGGUGUCCCUGCCCAUGGGAACUAGAUGAUCUUUCAGGUCCCUUUCAGCCCAAACCAUUCCAUGAUUUAUGAAAUGGCUGACAGCAACACAGAGGUGGACACGUUGGAAUACACAGCCUUUCUUAUUCCCAAAUGAUAUUGCAAUGGCUGUGAUUAACGUGAUUACGGAUGCCGGCCCUGCCUUCGAGGGCUCGCGCCACCUUGGCUGAAUCCAGCCUCUCCACAAGAAGCCCUGUCCUCCUAUGUAGUGGUGUCCCGAAAUAAGACAGGGCAUGCUCCCAUGCCCAAGGACCUCUGCGCCCUCCCCGCCCCGGCAGAGACCUCCCAGCAGUUAGUGCAUCCCCCCGGCUCUCCCAGGCCCUUGGUAGCGAGCUGGGGCUGUGCCAAACUAGACAUUUCCUCCUCCUUCCUUGCUGGCCUUUCUGCAAUAUUUUCCGCAGCCCUGCAGGUGAUGAGGGAUUUCUCAACUUCUGAAAAUCCAGCUUGCGCUGCUGCUUCGUUUCACCGGUUUCCCGGGUCGGUGCCGUAACUUCCUGAUCUGCUGCGGAAGAAUUGCUCUGUCGGCCCAUCUGCACCGUUAAAAAAGCUGGGGUACAGCGAGGAGAUCGUAUAAAGAGGGACCGUGAUCAUUUAUCCAAAUGCAAACAAACCUAAGUAUGAGGAUUUACCACAGACUGACUUUCUUUUUUAAAAAUUUAUUUCAUGUGUUAAUACAAAGACUAUUUAGCAAAAGUAGAAUGCCGGGAUUUGCAUAUGAAUAGGUACCUAAAGAUCAACGAGAUCAACUCAUUAGGGCCUGAACAUCUAAACAUACGGAAGUCAAAGAGGCCAGAGCUCAAGAGCCGCUGAGAUUCCCGGUGACUAAUCCAAGCAAAGCUGGUAGUUUUAAAUUUAGUACUAUUUUUCCUGCCUUGACACAGAAGUCCUUUACCUGAAAUCAAAGCUCAGUCCAAGGAAAAUAGCCUAGCGAUUGUGUUUGGGACUCGGCUUCUUCCUUUGCCACAGCCUUUCUCCAUGGCAUCGGGCAAGUUGUUUAGGAGGGGACUGGUCUCACCUAGCAGGAGCCAUCUCCAAGGGAGGCAUUUGAACGUCCUCGUCAUCCGGGCUCCCUUUGCAGUCAGCGAAAAAAAGGCUCUUUCCAAAGGGCCGUUGGUCCUCGCUGCCGUAUCCCCUCCCAAGACAGUGUCUAAAUCUCUGGCUGCAGGUGCUUAUCUCGUCCUCUUGCCUAUGCCAAGAGUGUCUCCAGUAGCUCAGACCGAAAGGAGUAUGGAGUCCGACGUGCCUCAGUUCAUCGUCUGUAAAAUGGGAUUAAGUGAUUAAUGCUACCCCUGUAUCUCAUGGGCGAGUUAGGAAGUGGAAUAUAUUAUAAACCAUGAGAUGUUCAGAUAUUAAAAUAGUGGGAGUGAUAUGGAUGCCAUAAAAAGAUAAGGUCCUGAUCCAGUAUCUGUGGCAACCAAGGGAAUCUCUCCUCUGGCCUUUUGUGGGUAUUAGAUCAAUCAAUCCCCAGUGACAUUAUCCAUUCACUGCAGAGUAAGUGAAGGUAUGGCCAGAAUUUUUCCACCGGCAGAGAAGGGAGAGGGUAUGGGAAAGCCCUGACCUUACUCUAUGCUUGAAUAGUAGGAAGAGGGAAAGCACAAACAGGCUUUCAAAGCUGCCUACAGGAUUUGGACACAUCGGCUUAUUAAUGUUAGCGGAAAUUGGGCAUCCACAUCUCUGGAAAUUUCAGCCUCUGCAUUUACAACACAAAAAGAGCCCGAGCACAGAGGAGAUAUUUCCCUAAUCUUGGCACCACUGCAGAUUUUUGUUUGAGCUUCCUUGGAUUAGACCUUUAGCAAACGGCACUGCCCGGAUGUUACGGGAAGGACACGUUUACUCCGCAUCCACCCCGAGGUGUAGCAGCCCCGUGUCGGGGCAGCGUGUUCUCAUGCGUAGGUCCUGAGCCCCUCCGUAAAUCCCUCUUUUGACCUUGGGCAAGUCACUUAACCUCGGUUUCCUCUGACUGUAAAAUGUAGAUAAAAUAUUCCCUGCCUCACGGCAGCGUUGGGAAGAUUAACAGUUAGACAUUGUUCCGAGAGCCUUGAAUAAGGGCUGUGAGUGCACGCCGGGCGCCGUUUCUAUUGGAUACUGCUUGCUCUUCCUACAUCCAGAAGGACUGACUUUUACACUGGCGAGGAGCCCGGGCCCGUGACCAGUGGUGCGCCCCGGCUGAAUGCACAAUAACUACUGUGGCACGCACGAAUCGGGGAGCCGUGCAUGGAAACUGGACACACCGUUGCUGACAGAACAGAGGGGCUUCUCUCUCCCGCUCGCUUGGCCAACUCAAGGACUCCGCUUAUUAGGUGGAAAGCGCAGUGCCACCACUCGUGCAGUAUCAAACGGCUUCUAGGCAGCAUUUCGAACGGGUCAAUACGGUAUAAUAUCAUUCCCUCCCGAGGCUGCGAGGUGGGCACUUUGUAUUGACCUGAGUUAAAAUUCCACGCUCCUUUUACAACUCUCGCAGUUUAAAUGUGCCAGACCAGACCCCUUUGGGGAAGCUGAGAAGGGGAAAGAUGCGCAGGGAUUUUGUUUGACGUGUGUAAAUCAGGACUGAACUAAAUGGCAGAAGCGCAGUUUACCCUGAGAUAAACCGGACUUGGCUGAGGAUCUGGCACUCUUUACGCACAGCCCAUGAACAAACCCCGGUCCGGUCGGUCUCGGCGGCGCGGCGGCCUCAGGAGGGCUCUCUGCCGGGGCUGCGCUGGCUGGAGAGCACUGGGAGGACUGGGUGGACUGGGGAUGUGCUGGUGGGCUGGGAGGAAGGCAGGCUGCGUGUUGCCCCCACGCACAGCCUGGUCUCCGGGCAUUUUCCAGGACCACAACUGCGGGGGGAAAAAAAUCUCGUGAACAGGGUGGGGGGUGAGAGGAGAAGGAAGAGGGAGCGAGGGCACAGAGCCGCUGCCUGGGACAGCGUUGUUUCUUUCACUCCCGCAGAACUCCUUUAGCUACAAAAGCUAAACCUUUCUUUAACCCGGAAUAUCCCCUCUCCCCGUGUUCUCUGCUCUCUGCCUGGCUGGGGCAUCUGGAAGAGAUGGCCCCCAGCUCUCCCCCCGCUCUCCCGCGUCAGGCAGCCCGAGGGCCGGCCUUGCUCCCAGGGCAUCCCGCUUACGGGCGCCGUCCUGCGCCCAGGCGGGGUCUGGCCCCGGCCCCGGCAGCAGGAGGGGUCCGUGUUCCUCCCACACCUCGGCACACCGAAAGGAGGUGACAUUCUGGGACGGCAUCGGGCCUUGCUGCCUUAUUUAUGGGGAAGAAACAGGCCGCGUAGGUCUCUCUUCAGGGUGGGUGAGCAGCAGCGGCUUAGGAUGUCCCCAUCGCCAGGGCUUAUCUGCUUUGAGCAGUAAUGCACUAAUUUACUACUGUGGUAGGAAUGAUUGAAAUAUUUAGACAUAAUGGAGGAAGUUUAAUAGGGUCUACUGAGAAACCCAGGUGUUUAGAUCAGCUUAAAAAUAAUAACCUUCUCCCCUGCUGAGCACUUUCUUUUCACAAUAAGCUCAGCUUUUAUUCUUAACCAUAAAGACUACCUCAGACAGGAAAUUAUUCACGUGAUUGGUCUUUACAAGUAGCGGAGGGUUUAAACUCGGGGCUGGAGAGGUCAUUAGUGGACAGCCAUGUGAUUAACCUUUGCUUGCCCGUUUCUUUUCACACUUUGUUAACAGCUCCCAUUAUUGCCCUUCUGUGUCUCAAGGAAGUAGUUUAUUGACAGUAUUAAAAAUACAUAGCUACAAAUUCCAAAGAGCCCAUCCUUGUGUAAAACCUCCCGUAAUUUCUAGCCAGAUGAUAUA